rnacentral:lncRNA from 1 species
GCAUCGCAUCGAGGUGUAGAGUUAACCGCGAAACAACUCGCCGGGAGAUUCCACAUGAUUCUUCAGAGUUACGGUAGCGUCGUUUGUUUCCCAGUAGUAUUUCCUACGUUUACUAUACCAAAGAGAGAAAGAGAGAGAAAGAGAGAGAGAGAGAAGCAAGGUGCUACUUGAUAACCCGUUUGAAUGUCUCCUCUAUACACCUCGAAAGUGGCAAGAAUUUAUUGGACGAUUAUGCACGAUUCUCCAAUCGAAAUUGAAACAUGAAUUUCUCUUAUGUCGAGAUUGAUCGAAUACAUCCGACCGCAACGUGAUUGCUGACCGCAGAAAAGGACGUGCUUGGUACUCGAAUAAACUGAAACGAAAUCAAUACGGUCGUAGAACGUUAAAGUGGCAUAUCGUGACUCAACGACCUAAAUAUAUCCCCCGGCCAAGGUGGACACCGGAAGAGCACGACUUCUCUCAAACCAGCAGCCGACUUCUCCUAUCUCUCUGUUGGUCUAAUUUUAAUAUCUGGUACUUACGUGUCUCAUUCGAACAUACGCACUACUUCGAGAACUCUUAACAGUUUACGUUUAUUUCACACACACACACACAGACACACACCACGUUCAUUUAUUUAUAGUAUACAUAUAUAUAUAACUGAUGUGAGUUCAUUACAAAGUUUGUUAUACUCGUUUCAAUUUUCUAUUCAAGAAUCAGACGACAUUUGUAUUUAGUUCCAAAUGAUAUUGAUCAAAUAUAUGAUUGACUACUUAGAAUUAUUUUUUUCGUUUACCUUUCGACACCAUUUUGACACCUUAUUUUUUUUUAUAUUAAACUAAAGUAAACCUAAGUUCUCGACGAGGAUAGAAACUUGAAUCAUUUUUUGAUUUGAAAAGGGCAACAAAAUUGAGUGUUACAAGAUAUUACACAAAUACGAAUUACGAAAUGAUUUUUUUAUUCCUUUCCGUAGAAGCUUCAUCGAGAAGAUUUCUGGUUCGGUGUAAGAGGCUAAGGUAGUUUUAACGAAAGUCCGAGUAGUAUAAAGCAAUGUCGAUUGACAGGCCGACGGUUGUACGUACGCGAGUGGAAAGAGUUAACGAGUAAACGUCCGCUUUAGCUUUGCUAAAGUCUUUGGUUAACUUCGAGGAAAGAUCGUAACGAGCCAUUGCUAUCUCUCUCUCUCUCUCUUUCUCUUUCUUUCUUAGUUACAGCUACCGUGACAGAAGCUAUCGUUUUGCUCGUUCCAUCGAAUAAACACGUAAAUGACCCCGUAAAACGUCUCCUUUUCAAUGGCGCAUGAAUCAAAUCGAAGGUCCUUUUCCUCGAGACAUUGCGAAUGGUCUAAGAAACAGAAUCUGAAAGAGAGAGAGAGAAGAUGCUCGUGGUUUUCUUCGAGGGACGACGAGUAGCUCUGUAAAUUAGCAUUUACGAGAUAUCGUUCCCAGAAUCGAUCGAUCCGUCGUACUCGUCGAGCCCGAGGGGAAGAUUGAGGGAGGAAGAUCGUGAUCAUCGCAGUCACGAAAGAGAGUAACCGAGAGAGAGUGAGAGAGAGAAAGAGAAAGGGUACAAUUUAUCGCCUCUCCUUGUUCGACAUCGGAAAAACGACGCCGAGUGGCCUCCUUUUAAACGAUACUUCUACAACGCGAAAUACUACA